rnacentral:tRNA from 1 species
CGGGGCACGUAGGUGGUGUACCGCCUGCCGGUUUCCGGCAGCCAGUUGCUGGUUCGACUCCAGCUGCCCCGA